rnacentral:rRNA from 1 species
GGUGAGGUAAUGGCUCACCAGGGCAUUGACGGGUAGCUAGUCUGAGAGGACGAAUAGCCACACUGGGACUGAGACACGGCCCAGACUCCUACGGGAGGCAGCAGUGGGGAAUCUUGCACAAUGGGCGAAAGCCUGAUGCAGCGACGCCGCGUGGGGGAUGAAGGCCCUAGGGUCGUAAACCCCUUUCAGUGGGGACGAAAAUGACGGUACCCACAGAAGAAGGUCCGGCCAACUACGUGCCAGCAGCCGCGGUAAGACGUAGGGACCAAGCGUUAUCCGGAUUUAUUGGGCGUAAAGAGCUCGUAGGCGGUUGCGUAAGUCGGAUGCGAAAACUUGAGGCUCAACCUCGAGACGCCAUCCGAUACUGCGCUGACUUGAAUCCAGUAGGGGAGUGUGGAAUUUGUUGUGUAGCGGUGAAAUGCGCAGAUAUAACAAGGAACACCUAUGGCGAAGGCAGCACUCUGGGCUGGUAUUGACGCUGAGGAGCGAAAGCAUGGGUAGCAAACAGGAUUAGAUACCCUGGUAGUCCAUGCCGUAAACGGUGGGCACUAGGUGUGGGGACUUUCAACGGUUUCCGUGCCGAAGCUAACGCAUUAAGUGCCCCGCC